UACAGAGGUCCCAAGCGUUGUUCGGAUUCACUGGGCGUAAAGGGUGCGUAGGUGGCGAGGUAAGUCGGAUGUGAAAGCUUCGAGCUCAACUCGAAAAUGGCAUUGGAAACUACCUUGCUCGAGGGUUGGAGGGGGGACUGGAAUACUUGGUGUAGCAGUGAAAUGCGUAGAUAUCAAGUGGAACACCAGUGGCGAAAGCGAGUCCCUGGACAACUCCUGACACUGAGGCACGAAAGCUAGGGGAGCAAAC
rnacentral:rRNA from 1 species